rnacentral:rRNA from 1 species
CACGCCGUAAACGAUGAGCACUAGGUGUCGGGGUCGCAAGGCUUCGGUGCCGCAGUUAACGCAUUAAGUGCUCCGCCUGGGGAGUACGCACGCAAGUGUGAAACUCAAAGGAAUUGACGGGGACCCGCACAAGCAGCGGAGCAUGUGGUUUAAUUCGAAGCAACGCGAAGAACCUUACCAGGGCUUGACAUCCCUCUGACCGGCCGGUAAUGCGGCCCUCCCUUCGGGGCAGAGGUGACAGGUGG